GGGGGCAUAGCUCAGUUGGGAGAGCAGCAGACUGAAGUUCAACUGACUUUCCAAUUUUCUGAAGGUCCCGCGUUCAAUCCGCGGUGCCCCCA